rnacentral:rRNA from 1 species
CCUACGGGGGGCUGCAGUCGAGAAUAGUCUACAAUGGUCGAAAGACUGAUAGUGCGACGCCGCGUGAACGAAGAAUCCCUUCGGGGUGUAAAGUUCUUUUAUAUGUGAGCAAUGGGUUUUAUGUGAACAGCAUGAGAUCAGAGAUAUUAGCAUAUGAAUAAGCAACGGCUAACUCCGUGCCAGCAGCCGCGGUAACACGGGGGUUGCAAGCGUUGUCCGGAAUUACUAGGCGUAAAGGGCAGGUAGGCGGAUCUAUAAGUUUGAUGUUAAAGGCGACGGCUUACCCGUCGUAAGGCAUUAGAUACUGUAGAUCUGGAAUACGGUUGGGGAAGACAGAAUUCCUGGUGUAGCGGUGGAAUGCGCAGAGAUCAGGAGGAAUACCGAAGGCGAAGGCAGUCUUCUAAGCCGUAAUUGACGCUAAACUGCGAAGGUGUGGGUAUCAAACAGGAUUAGAUACCCCGGUAGUC